rnacentral:rRNA from 1 species
GACGAACGCUGGCGGCGUGCCUAAUACAUGCAAGUAGAACGCUGAAGGAGGAGCUUGCUCUUCUGGAUGAGUUGCGAACGGGUGAGUAACGCGUAGGUAACCUGCCUGGCAGCGGGGGAUAACUAUUGGAAACGAUAGCUAAUACCGCAUAACAGUAGAUGUUGCAUGACAUUUACUUAAAAGGUGCAAUUGCAUCACUACCAGAUGGACCUGCGUUGUAUUAGCUAGUUGGUGGGGUAACGGCUCACCAAGGCGACGAUACAUAGCCGACCUGAGAGGGUGAUCGGCCACACUGGGACUGAGACACGGCCCAGACUCCUACGGGAGGCAGCAGUAGGGAAUCUUCGGCAAUGGACGGAAGUCUGACCGAGCAACGCCGCGUGAGUGAAGAAGGUUUUCGGAUCGUAAAGCUCUGUUGUAAGAGAAGAACGAGUGUGAGAGUGGAAAGUUCACACUGUGACGGUAUCUUACCAGAAAGGGACGGCUAACUACGUG